rnacentral:rRNA from 1 species
AUGGACGCCGUCGACUCUAUGGUGGAUCCCCUCCGCGAGUUUGCCAAGGACAGCGUCCGCCUCGUCAAGCGCUGCCACAAGCCCGACCACAAGGAGUUCACCAAGGUGGCGGCGCGGACGGCGGUCGGGUUCGUCGUCAUGGGGUUCGUCGGCUUCUUCGUCAAGCUCAUCUUCAUCCCCAUCAACAACAUCAUCGUCGGCUCCGGCUAG